rnacentral:rRNA from 1 species
AGGACGAACGCUGGCGGCGUGCUUAACACAUGCAAGUCGAGCGGUAAGGCCUUUCGGGGUACACGAGCGGCGAACGGGUGAGUAACACGUGGGUGAUCUGCCCUGCACUCUGGGAUAAGCCUGGGAAACUGGGUCUAAUACCGGAUAUGACCUGCUCUCGCAUGGGGGUGGGUGGAAAGAUUUAUCGGUGCAGGAUGGGCCCGCGGCCUAUCAGCUUGUUGGUGGGGUAAUGGCCUACCAAGGCGACGACGGGUAGCCGACCUGAGAGGGUGACCGGCCACACUGGGACUGAGACACGGCCCAGACUCCUACGGGAGGCAGCAGUGGGGAAUAUUGCACAAUGGGCGAAAGCCUGAUGCAGCGACGCCGCGUGAGGGAUGAAGGCCUUCGGGUUGUAAACCUCUUUCAGCAGGGACGAAGCGCAAGUGACGGUACCUGCAGAAGAAGCACCGGCUAACUACGUGCCAGC